rnacentral:rRNA from 1 species
ACUCAAUAGAUACCCGGGUAGUCCACGCCCUAAACGAUGUCGACUGGUUGUUGGGGGUUUGACACUCUCAGUAAACGAAAGCUAAACGCGUGAAGUCGACCGCCUGGGGAGUACGGCCACAAGGUUAAAACUCAAAGGAAUUGACGGGGACCCGCACAAGCGGUGGAUUAUGUGGAUUAAUUCGAUGCAACGCGAAAAACCGUACCUACCCUUGACAUGUCCGGAAGGCUGCUGAAAGGCGGCUGUGCCCGAAAGGGAACUGGAACACAGGUGCUGCAUGGCUGUCGUCAGCUCGUGUCGUGAGAUGUUGGGUUAAGUCCCGCAACGAGCGCAACCCUUGUCAUUAGUUGCUACCCGCAAGGGAGCACUCUAAUGAGACUGCCGGUGACAAACCGGAGGAAGGUGGGGAUGACGUCAAGUCCUCAUGGCCCUUAUGGGUAGGGCUUCACACGUAAUACAAUGGCGCGUACAGAGGGUUGCCAAGGAGCGAUCUGGAGCCAAUCCCGUAAAGCGCGUCGUAGUCCGGAUUGCAGUCUGCAACUCG